UUGUGUGCAGCCUCACUCCACCAGAGAGCAGAUAAAUAGAUUCAAGACUCCAAACUACUCAGAUGUCACAGUAAAAAUGGCUGCAAAAGGGGCUGCAUUAUCACACAGCUGGACUUGAGUCAGGAAAACAUCUUGAGUCAGGAAAGCUCUUCAAGUCACUGGGAGAUACGGAUUACUCACGGUGACACUACCCUGUGCUCUGUUGUUUGUCUCUUUGGAGAGCAGAAGCAGAAGGUUGUAUGAAAGCUAUUCGGUAAGAGCUUAUCUGUUUUGAAGACAUUGGAAGGGGGGAAAAGCAAUUUAUAGGCUGUGAUUUUAAAAAGGCUCCUAUGUAUAGGCUUUUACCGUGACAAGACAGUGUCUCAGUCUGGUCUGCACUCACUCUAGUGCUGCAGGGCAUAAAAGAAAGGAGCAUUACACCACAUACAACCUGCUAAUGGAGCCACAUCAUCCUGUGAAAUCCAUCAGCUGGGCCAAUUCUGGCUCUUACUCUGUUCUGAUUUCUUGAUAACUGUUCAGCUAGAAGUAUACGGGACGUCUGAGAAGAAUAACCUCAAGGAAUAAUCUCAUCUUACUAGAAAUAUCUGUCUUGAUCACCCCAUUGUCUAAAUGAAGGGAGCCACGGAUACCAGUUACCCUUCUAGGUGCUGGUCUGUCACCUGUAACAUUUGAUGAAGAUCCAUGGUAUAACAGGGGAUGGGAAGAGCAGCAGACACUGAUCGAGUCCCACUGAAUCAUAUGGGCCAAAUGAUCCUACAGUGAUCUGUAUUUGGAGCGAGCCCAUGUGAAAAGCACACAAUGGGGUUGGUAAACAAUGGAACGAUUUACAACCAGCUUGUAAAAAGAGCAACAGUGUGUUUGGAUCCUACAUGGCCUCAUGGACACCUUGGUGCAAGCCUCAAUAAUUUUCUUCCUUUGUCCUCUUGCUUUCUAACAGAGGACAGAGAGGCCAUAACCUAUCUGCAAAGUGGAGCAGCAGCAGCAAGGUCUAAACCAGAAGUUUUGAGGAAAUCCAUGGGUAUCUGGAAAAAAAAAUCAUGAUGUACUAAAACCAGCAAACUGAAUCCAUUUGUGCUGUGUGAAACCAGAAUAUCAGACCAUGUGUAGAAUGGGUUCCCUCUUUCUUCAUCAGCCUUUCUGACCAGAUGUUUCAGAAGUACAGAACUGCCUCACAGAAUUACAAAAAAACCCAAACAUAUAUAUAUGUGUGUGGAAAAUCUUAUCUUCUGCAACAGAGACUGAUAGAAAACAAAAAUUCAGCUGUCAGUGAUGGAAAGAAGUACAUCCUAAAACACUUUUAUAUUGAACUUAAUUGAAGUUUAAGGCGAAUUUCUCCCCUUAAGAAAGGAAAAAUAAAGAGGAAAGCAAUGAAACUACUUGAAAGUACCAGCAUGGACUACCAGUAAACUGCCAAAAUGUUGCUUAAAAGACAAGCUUUAAUCAGUCUCAUGGGCAAAUCAAAACACACAAAAAUGGUAGCACUUCUAAGCUGUGAAUGUGCUCCACAGUGAAGCUCUAUGAGGGACAUAGUGUAGGGGAGGACUAUGUAGAGUAGGGUAGAUGGUUGGACUCGAAGAUCCCAAGGGUCUCUUCUCAACCUGAACGAUUCUAUGAUUCUAUCUUCCUGUAAGUGCAAGUCACACCAAAACAAAGUGAAAACAAAGAACCCAGUGUAAAUCUGUAUGAUACUGAAGCAGCAGAAAUGCUUAAGGAGCAAUAUGACAAAAGAAUAUUCAAACCUCUUCAAAUCAAUCAGAAGCAGGCGUCCUGCAAAAGAGUUUGCAAGCCCAAGGAAUGAACAAGUACAAAAGGAGCCUUUGAGAAUGUGAAGGCUGCAUUGCAAAAGCCCAGUGAAUGAUUUCUCUGUGACAGAGUUCACUUUCCCAAAGUUUUUGAGAACUAAGGAUAAGUGAACAAGGAACACUGCCUGCAACAUUUUAGAACAAAUUUGUGAAUGUGGACCGAGUCAUAAGGAUUUAAUGGUACUUCUUAUCACCAACUGCGCAGCAUGAAGCUGAAGAGUAGUAAUGCCAGAACAAACCUAAACAAGUCUGAGGGAGUCACAGAGGAUGACUCAAAGGAACACACUUAAUUUUUGAAGUGUCUUGAGACAGGUCCUUCAAGGGCAUGAGACCUACCGUGAAAUAGAAAGGGCCUUGAGUGUAAUCAUAGGCUGUUAAUUCAGAAAGGAGAGGAACUAAUUGCCAGUUUUCAUAAGUGAAAAUAUUUCAAGGCUCCUUUUUCAGCAUCAAUUGAUGUGAAAAAAAAAAAAAAAAGCAGAAUACUCAAAGCUAACCCUGACUGCAGACUCCAAAAGAUCUUAUGGAAUCAGAUCAUUAUGGUUGGAAGAGAAUUGUAAUUCUGACACAAUCCUUAUGGACAGAACAACAGACAGAAUUUAAUGCCAUUUAUUGCAUGCCUAAUGAAU